AUCUGACCUCGAAUCAGGUGGGACUACCCGCUGAACUUAAGCAU
rnacentral:rRNA from 1 species